GCCUGGGUGGCUCAGUCAGUUAAGCGUCUGACUUCAGCUCAGGUCAUGAUCUCGCGGUUUGUGAGUUCGAGCCUCGCAUCGGGCU
rnacentral:tRNA from 1 species